AAUAAUGAAAACAGACGUAAUUUUUGACUAAUUUUGAUGAACAAGGUCUCACUUUAAAGACGAAGGUUUAAUCUAGGACCCCGCUUUAUUGAAUUUUUGAAGAAGUUUCUUAUUUGUGCAUAAACUAUUUUCGAAAAAAUACCAUUUUUAACACGGUUUUUUUCAAAGAAAAUAAACCUUUUUUAAAAAUUCGGAAAAAAUAUCUACUAGAUUAAAUCUUCAUCUUUAAUAUGAGAUCUUGUUCAUUAAAAUUGGUCUAAAAUUACGCUUGUUCUCAUUGAUGGCCUAAACUAUUAUAAAACCAUUAUAUAGGGAUAGUGAACAACCUUAAACUUUCAUUUUUCUGAUUAUUCGCCAAUAAUACGUAAAGAAUGCGGUAAACAAAAUAAGUUAAUGAAAACGGGAAAAGAUAAAGGAGUUAUCCAAAUGGGUGUCACAAAACCAUUAUGGCCCAGCAUAGGCAACCACAACAAAACGAAUUUUUACCAUUAUGUGAUGUUCUGUUUAAUAUAAUUUCCCUUGCAUCAUAUUUUUGUGACAUUGUUUUCGAUUUUGCAAUGGUUUAUGCACUUGCUCAUCAUUCGGUAGGACAACCUACUGUUUUUCCCUUAAGCAUUACUUUUAUAACGACGUCUUUGCUUGCCUGCCAGAUAGUUAGCAUACGUUGGUAUUUAUGGGGUGCAAGAGGUAAAUUAAUAGACAAUGAUGAUACAAACAGGGAUUGUAAUGUAAACCCGUGUAAAAAGACUGGUAAUUGGACUUUGGGUUGUGUAUUAUUACUUCAUACAACACAAGCUGGAGUACUCUGGAGAUAUUUUAAGUUGUUUAUUCCAGUUGAUUUAGCUUAUGUUAAACAUGAGGUGCGAGAGUUGUGUGUAUUACGUCUUAUACAUGCAUUCUGCGAAGCUGCACCCAUGUUACUAUUACAACUAUAUUUAUUAUCUAUUGGAAUUAAUGACAAUUUAAGUAUAGAAAAUGAAAAAAUAAAAAGUGGUGAAGUGAAGGACAGUGAAAAGUUAACAAAAUUAACAGCAGUGUCAGCUGGACUAUCCUUAUGGAGUGUUUGUUGGGCAGUAGCUAGUUUUAGUAAAGGUGCAGCACGCCUUCGUAAUCUAGAACGUUUGGUACUUACAUGGUUAGGUGUAUUAGCUCAAUUAUUUUGGCGUCUUGGAACUGUAAGUGCACGAGUUGGAGCAUUAGUUGUAUAUGCAUCACUUUAUGGUGGACAGUGGCUAUUAAUUGUGAUGGCACUUCAUUGGCUUUCUAUGUUAACGUGGUUAUUGCUCACACCUGAUGGACUCUUCCAUGUAGGUGAGCGUCUUCCACUUAUGAGAAAAAGUAUUUUGGCCUCUAUGUUGGCAUUUGUUUAUAUAUUUGCAUAUGUAAAUCUACAUGAGACCAAUCAUCGCCAAAAAAUGGUAAUAUUUUAUACCGUAAUGUUAUUGGAAAAUAGUUUACUUACUGGAGUAUGGGCUGUAGGUAUAAAUAGAAGUGAUCUUCAUCUUCAUCAACCAAAUCCAGUAAACUUAGUACUUACACUUGUAGCAUUAUUUUUUUGUGGUAUGUUCUUUAUGGCAUUGUAUUAUAGAUUCUUUCAUAUAAGAAGAUUAACAUAUGAAGUUGGUGGUAGAAUGACUACUUCAAAUCUUGCAAUUAUGUCUAACCAGGACAAUUCAGAAGAAAGGAAUAUAGAUUAUGUAAAGGAAAAAAAAAUUGAUAAAGAUGUAGCAACAAGAAAAGUAAAAUUAAAUAAUAGUGGUAUACCUGGUGUAUUUAAUUGUCGUUUUGCUAAUGCAGCAGUAGUAAAUCCAAAUCGUAAAAAGAAAAAGCCUACUACAUUUGUACCUCCACCACCUCCGCAAGAUCAGUCUACAUCUACUGUAACUCCUAUUACCGCAGGUGAAGAUACUAAACAGUGGAUUAAUGGAAACAAUGGACACCAACAGAUAAUACCGUUUUGGAAAAAAGCUGCAUCGUUUUCCAAUGUGUUGCAGAGUGAUGAUUCAAAUAUACAAAAAAAUACAACCGAAGCAGAGACAAGUACUUCUUCGAGCGUAAAUUUAAUACGAGAGAAAUUAAGGCAAAAAAAACAGCAACAACUUCGCGAGCUUAAAGCUAUACAAGAAGAGAUAAAAGAAGGAAAAUUAUUUCCUCCUCUAUCAGCAUCUCCAUCUACGUUUUCAUCUUCUCCAUCAGUAUUAAAUCAACAACCACCACCAAGCAAGAAGUUGCAUACUUCUCCAAACACUAUAUUAUUUACAUCACCCUCAUUAGUGUCUGAUGGAGAUGAAGGUGUCACAUUAACAUCGUGGCCACCAGUUAAAAUGCAUUGUUUAUUACCACCACCACCAGUAUCACCGUACCAUUCUAAUUCCCAUUCCUCGAGUUUAUGGAAAGUAUCGCAAAGAGAGAAAACAAAUGUACCAGAAAUUUUAUUAGCACCUAGAUGUCUUCCCAUACAUUGUGCUCAUUGGACACCUCCUGGUCAUCUUAGUCAUAGCCGGAAUGGAAAAGGAGAAAGUUCCAAAGAUGAAAGUGAAGAAGGUGAAAUCAGCGAUAUGGAAGGUAGUCAAGUAUCAUUGCCUAGAAGUUAUACACUUCCUCGAGAAUUUAAAUAUUAUCACUCUACUAAUAUGCUUAGAGAUAAAGAUCGAUGCGGUGGUACUAGUAAAGUACAACCAUCUAGAUUUUAUUUACCUUCUACUUACAGUUCUGAUGGAGAUGUAGAUAGUGCAGAUAAUGAGGAGGAAACAGAUUCUGAAUUACAAGUUGUUAUGAAGGAAGGUCACAAUUGUAGUUCCGACAGAACUCAGCAACGAAAAUAUGCACUAAAAAAUAAUGAAGGAACAGAUUUAUCUAGUAAUAAUUGUGAUGCUUCUACUGAUAUUGCAAUAUCUAAUAAUUCUCAUCAUAAUAAUUUAUAUGGAUUCAGAGUCAUCUGAUUUUGAUGAGAACGACGUGUACAGAGAAGAAAAAAAGAAAGAAAUAGAUUUAGAAUAUGCAUGUCGAACAGGAGAUAUUGAUAUAAUUGAAGAAUAUCUUAAUGAAUUUUCCACUUUUUACUUUUUUUAAUUUUAUGUUAAUGAAUCAUUUUAUCUGUUUAAAUAUAUUUAGAUCAUGAUAUCAAUACUAUUUUAAAAGAAGGUUGCACUCUACUUUUAAUUGCUGCAUCAUAUUAUAAAGAAGAACUUAUUGAAUACCUUUUGGAACGUGGAGCUGAUGCUACUAUACAUAAUUAUGGUUUUUUCUUUUUUUAAAUAAUUUUUUAAUUAAAUGAAU